UACGGAGGAUCCGAGCGUUAUCCGGAUUUAUUGGGUUUAAAGGGCGCGCAGGCGGGAGAUUAAGUCGGCGGUGAAAUUUUGCAGCUCAACUGUAAAAGUGCCUUCGAAACUGGUUUCCUUGAGUGUGGAUGAAGUAGGCGGAAUUUGUGGUGUAGCGGUGAAAUGCAUAGAUAUCACGAGGAACUCCGAUUGCGCAGGCAGCUUACUAAACCAUAACUGACGCUCAGGCACGAAGGCGUGGGGAUCAAACAGGAUUAGAUACCCCGGUAGUCCCU
rnacentral:rRNA from 1 species